UGGCCUGCGAUUCCCAGGCAUUGAAAACGACGACGUUUGAUGUCGCUGUAACAUAUCAAAGUGUCUAUCCCAAUACGUUUGAACUGGGCUUGCGCAUUGAGCAAUGCCCACAAGCGUAACAUCCAUUGCAGCUCUUCGCUCCCUCUCAAAAAAUACUGCCUUCCCAUUCAAGGUUCUCAAUCUCUCUCUCAAGCUAUUUCCUUUGCCUAUUAGCUCCAUACUUACCAUCUUCUUCACCAUGAUGUUGAGUAUUGUGGGCAAACUUGACGAAGUUGAGGCCAAGUCCAUGUCAGUUCCAAUCCUUUAAAUGUGCUCAGCCAGGAAGCUCCUGUUGUUGCGGAGGCUGUUGAAAGGAGUUGCGGGAGAAGGUAUGCGUGCCGGUUUACCUAAAUUUGUCCCUGUUAACCCUGUUAACUUGAGGGACAUAGAAUCUGCCAGUUUCAACAAGGUGAAGAGAUGUCUCUCGAGAUGUUGAAGAAGAAGAAGGGUUUGAUUAAUCCGUCAGGAAGAGAAAAGGAACUCCCUCCAAAGUUACAAAUCAUACUUGUACUUGCUUUAUAUUGUUAGCACGAACCAUAUAAAAGUGAACUUCCGCACUCUUCUCUUCUGACUGAACCAUAUAAAGUUUAAAAAUUGUGUGGGUUUCUCCUUCGUUGUAUACUUUUGAAAAACAUAAGCAUGAGAGUAGAUUUUCCCAUGUCACGACUAUUCUUA